AGCGUCCCCAUCCUCAACCUCCACCUCCUCCACCUCCUCCUCCACCACCACCACCUCCUCCCCGGGGCUCCUGCCUGUGCGCCCCCCUCUCCGCUCGCUGCAAGUUUCCCCCCCGCCCCACCAAGUAGCCGCCGCCGCCUCUUCCCGCCGCUUGUCCCACUUCAAGCCAACUUUGCCAAUCGCCUCUUUGAUCGACCUGCGGCUGCCGCCGCCGCCAGCAGAUCCCGUUAGCCCUUUAACGCACGCCUCCAGCCUGGCUUGCUUGGAGUCGGCUGCUAUUGCUCGGCGGGCGCGGCGAUCAGGGAGCAGUGGAGCUACGCGAGGAGGCUUAGAAGGAACAUCCUCGUCUCCAGUGGGGCCCCAUCAGCACACCGCUCCACCGACGGCUGGGUUGUUAACCGCGAUUUCUAUCUGCCUGCGUCAAGCUAGACUGGAGACAGCGACAGAGAGAGAGAGGAGAAGGAGAUGGAGGGAGGGAAGGAGGGAAGGAAGGGAAGAGAGCGAGCGAGCGAGCAAGGGGCGUCUGCAGCCUGCCGUGGCACAUGCACUUUCCCUCUGUCACUCUUCUGAGGGCUACGACUCUCCGCUCAACUACCCAGCAGCAGCCAGCAUCUCUCCCCUCUCCCCCCUCCCCCUCGCCCCGCCGCCGCCGCCAGCCAAGGUAGGUGAGUGCGGGGGCUUUGGUUGCAUUCCAGGCACUUCUUGCUGAAAUGCCACGCCACGUUUGCAAAGGAAUGUGCAGCCUUUGGACACGUUUCCUUUGCAGGACGGAGAGACAUUCAGAGUGAACGCACGCAUACCCGCACGGCACUUCGGAAAUCGCCGGAGAAGUCCUCGCGUUGGCAAAGCUCCUCAGUCUGCCUCAAGCAACCUCCGGGGCUAGCGGAAGAAGAAGUUCCAUUUCCAGGAGAUACACAUACGCACCUCACCACCACCCGGGUCUUUUUUUCUUCUAAAACUACUAAUAAGGAGAGCUCAACCUUUGCACCUGGCAGGCAUACCUUCUGCAAGCCCUGCACCCUAUCUCAUCCAUACGUAUGUUAGGGACUGGGUUGGCACUCUGCACAUGCCAAGGGGCACUCUCUGUAUUAAUACUCCACAUGUUGCAAAGCUGAGCUCAGCCAAAAUAAUUCCUCACUCAGAACCUCCUUAAGCAGUCUUAGUGCCAGCUGCUUGCCCAAAGCAACCUCCAAGUUUAGGUGAAGCUUCAGCUGUAUAGCACACACGUUUUUUAGCAGUUACAGACACAGUUUUAAAAUAGUCAUUGUAAUGCCAUUACCAGACCAUUUCAUCCUGCCGCAAGCAACCUUCAGGGUUCAGUCUUUUUGUUUCUAGAUACCUGCAGCUUCAUUUGGGGGAAUUGGGAGAAAUGGGAGUUAACUGGAGUGUUGUUUUUUAGUGCACCUUUCUUAGGACAGUGAUGAGGUUGUCUCUCUCCAUUUCAUUUAGUAAACUCACCCACCCUCUGUCAUUACAACCACAAGAAAUAAAGCAGUUAUCUGAGAAGGAACAUAGUGGGUGGAGCAGAAGUGUGGCGGGGUGUGGGUUUUUUUAGCAUUUUAAACAGGUUUUGAAAGAAAAUCUAUAUGAAACCAUGCUCAGCCAUCUGGAAAAGGUUGCUGGCUUUGGUCUUUUCUUCUUCCUACUUGAGGUGGGCGAUUGAAAGGUGAGAGCUUCAUCUUCAUCUACCUAGGUAGGAGCUUCAUCUACCUGGAUCCUGCUGCGUUUUGGCUUCAAUCCCUCAGGCUGUGUAAUUAGAGGAGAGGAACAGGUGCAGUCAACAUUCUGCACCAAAAGCUAAACUAAUGUUAGGCUCAAGUCAUCCCUCCUCAGCAACUGAUGCAUGACUUUAGAUCCAGCACCUGGAUGCUUCAUGGUCUCUGAUCCUACUCACAAUGCCAAGUUUCAUACCAGGGGAAAACCAGCGCGAGAGAGAGAAAGGAUGAGCAGGAAGGAAAUGGCAUAAGGAAAAGGGUUAAGAAGCUACUCUGUAUCCUCUGUGUCACAUCCAGGCCAGUGCUGCACUCAAGAUUACAACCUAACAAGGCUCCUUUGGGUUUCAGACCUCACAGGGGAAAGAAACACACAGACUCACAAAGAGCACAUUCACAUACACACACAAUUAGUAAUGUUGCUGAUUUCUCUUUCCAACUUCACUAAAAAUAACAGGCACCUUCUCUCAGUUAUGGAAGGGAGCAAUGAGAAGGAGUCUUCAUACACCCCACUACAUAGAACACUAAUGUCUACAACACAGUUUCUCAACAACCGGACCCUGGACCGCUGCCGGUCCCUGAAGGGUUGAGUGCCGGUCCCUGACUGGGAGUCAACCCCCACCCCCACAACAACUGCAAUCAAGGCACUCACUUCCUCAAUUUUGCACAUGGCACAGAAGAGGAAGAGGAAGAGUAUCACGGAGGCACAGGACCCUGCUUCCUCCUUGCCUCCACGUGCUGCUGAGAUCUUCCUACAGCUAUCUUUAUCUUUACAAUUUCAAACUGUAUGCGGCGUGGGGGCACUGAGGAAAAGGUAUGGCAGUGGGCGCCACUUGAAGGGCUGCUGGUUCUUGCAUGCUCAUUAUUUGCAGCCAAAGGUUGAUUGAUUGAAACUCAGCUGCCUGUUGCGGCCAAAGCGCCUUGAGAGGAAACCCUGUUUCCCUAUUGCAUUGGUGGGGCGUUGCGGUCCCUCAGUCCCCUGUAACCCCCUGGUCUGCACUACUGGUAGAAGAUGGCGGUCCCCUUUGUGACCUCGCCAGGAGGUGGAACCUCUGGCCGGGAUCAUGCCGCAGUGAGGGCUAAGUGGGGUAGGGAGGGAGGAGGGCUGCCUUUGCUUGGGCUUUGCAGAAAGGGAGUACAGGUGGACCUUCCUCGGGGGAGGGGGAGCAAGCACGCAUACCAAGGAGAGCUAAGUGGAGGAGGGAGCCGGCAUGGUACGGGGAAGAGGCAAGAUACCAUUUUGUGCGUUCAUGCAAAAGGGUCAUUGGAUGAAUGGCACUGGAAUGAAGUGAUCCUGGGGAUUUGAUGCCCAGCACGGUUCGUGUCCGAUUCAAACUGAUUUAAAACCAGCUGCCUGUUGCGGCCAAGGCACCUUGAGAGGAAAUGCCAUUUCCCUCUUGCAUUGGUGGGGUGUUGUGGUCCCUCGGCCCCCUAUAGCCCCCUGGUCUGCACCGACGGUGGAAGACGACGAUCCCCUUUAUGACCUCGCUGGGUGUGGGGGACAACCUCUGGCUGGGAUCAUGCUGCGGUGAGGGCUAAGCAGAGGAGGGAGGGAGGAGGGCUGCCUUGGCUUGCCUCGCAGGUAUGCGCGGGCAACAUGUGGGACCACGUGAGCUGUGUGGCCCCAAAGGCAGGCUGGUGUGAUUGGCACAUGCAGGGGAGUUGGGAGGGGGGCACAGAAGUGUGCGUUGUGAGAGAGGAUGGGGGAAUACCUGCUACACUCUGGUGUGCAAGCACAGUGGCGGCAGCUCUUGGACCCAGGCGACGUUCCGAGCCUGAUCCGGUGCACCAUUGCCUCAUCCACCCUGAACAGUGCCUCGUCUCCCCAGCGAGGAAGAUGAGGCAUCCACCACUACAAUGCCCCACGCCCUCCGCCAUCUCAGAAUCACCCCCUUCCCUUUAAUGCCAGGUCCCCACUGCUCUUCUUCACAUUUUCUUUCACUGUUUUAAUAAAAAACCCUUCCCAGCACCUGCCAUGUAACCGUUUUUAAGGGGUUUUGGAGGAGCUGCACGGGUUUCAUUAGGUCCGCCUCACAAAGUGCACAUCUAAGAGCAGGAUCCAGAUCAAGCCAGGUGAUCAUGACCAAGCAGCAUUGACAAAAAUGAGAGAUGACUAAAUUAAUUUCAGUUGGUGGUCCUGACUAACGUCGUCUGGAUCCAGCCCUGCAACUACACAACUCCUGCCAAAACUCCACCUCCAUCAUGAGAGGGUUAAACUGUAGAUUUCUGGCUCUACUGAACUUGCCCAGCUCUCCUCAACUCACCUCCUUUUUGCUUUGCUUGACAUCCAGCCUGAUGAAGUGUUUUGGGGAAUUCAAAAGCUUGCUUGUGUGUUGUUUUCAUUGUUCCCAUGUAGCUUUUGAGUUUUUCUAAUGGCCCAACAUCCCCUCUCCAUUGAGUAAUCACAAGCACCCCCACCCCGCACAUACUAAAGACAUACUGGAGACAAAUUUGUUCACCCAGGCUUUUAGAUUCAGGGGUUCUCAACCUUGGGUACUCAGAUGUUGGUGGACUUCAACUCCCAUAAUCCCCAGCCAUAAUGGCCAAAUGCCAUUGUGGUUGGGGGUUAUGGGAGUUUAACUGAGAGACCCAAGGUUGAGAACCCCUAAUAUUCCGUGUCUGCAAAAGAUUCCAAACUUAAUGAUUUUAAUGCUUAUAUUAUUUUAAUUGUAAACUGCCCAGAGAUGCAAGUUUUGGGCAGUAUAGAAGUCUGAUAGAUAGAUAGAUAGAUAGAUAGAUAGAUAGAUAGAUAGAUCAACUUGAAACCCCUUUACUAACUGCUGGUCCGGGAAACUGCGCAUGAAGAAUGUAGCGGUCCUUGAAACUCUGCACGAAGAAUUUAGCGGUCCUUGACUCCAAAAAAGUUGAGAAACUCUGGUCUACAACAUCGGUGGAACUGGGAAUAUGAAGCUGUCCGUCCUCUCACUAGGGGGAGAAACGGAUCUCCUCUCAUCAACAAUUGUAUGAGCGCAUGAGGGCACUGCUUUGCAGUGGUUCUAUUCUAUUUGCAGUGGAACCUGGCGGGAAGGAUCCAGAAGGUGGCUCCGCUUCAUGGCAAAUGUGCUAUGACAUGAUGAUAAAGGUUUCUGUCUUGUUUUCUGUGCUGCUUAACAUCUACAUGAAACUGUUGGAGUCUUUCAGAGAUAUGACAAGCCGUGUGAGUAUCCAGUGAGUAUCCAGCUGAUAAUACUCGGGUCUAUUUCAUGGUGUAGUACAGCAGGAAUGGGCAGGGAUGCAGUCCUAGUACUUUUUGAACUCCAGGGUCUCUCAUCAGGGAGGCAAAACUCUCUGUUUUCUAAGUGGAAAUAAUGUGCUGCUCUUGCUAUUCCAACAGUUGGUUAUUGAAUAUCAGAAUACAACUGAUUUUAUUACCCUUCUUCCUGACUUCUGUUACAAGGAGUAUCCUCUAACCCUUGUGGUUGAUAAUUAGGGAUGUGUGAAUCAAUUCAUGACUGAAUCGAUUCAACUUGAAUCUGAGUGAUUCGACCUCAGAUUCAAGGUUGAAUCAAAUCCCUCUCAGUUUGAGCUUGAAUCAAUUUGGUGACUUGAGCCUCCAUUUUGUCCCCGGCAAUCUCCAUAUUGUACUCUCUGAGCUUCUGCCAUCACUACCAGGGGUGAUUUUUUAGGAAUCUUUAUAUGUGGGUUCUGAGAAUCCACAGAAUCCACAACACAUAAACAUUCCUAAAAUUUCACCCCUUUGUCCAAUUCCUUUGGGACCCUGCCACACAACCUGCUUGGGUGCCCCCUAGCCCUUAAAAAUUCAGCAAAAUUAAUUCAAAUUUGAAUCAAAUCAAAUUUGAAUUGAAUUGACCUAGAUUCUAGGGCAGCAGAUUUGAGCUCAAAUCGAAUCAGGCUGAUACAAUUUGAACUUGAAUCAAAUCACAAAAAUCAAUUUGUGCACAUCCCUAUUGAUAAUCCAGACUGCUCUUCUGGGUGGAUAACCACCACAUGAGAUUCAAGCUCUGUAAUAUUAGGAAACUAUCAUUGACUUCUUGUAACAAAACCCCUGAAAUUAUUUGCACCUAUCUAAGUGGGGUGUGUAGCCAUCUAAGUGGGUGUGUUAUGUACCCCAACCUUAGACUUAAAGGUACCAGCCCAGAAGUAUGUGGAAUUGAGGCCUGUGUCUGAUUUCAUUUUAUAUUAAGAAAUGAAUUAAUGCUUGGGCUCAGGGUGAACUGACAGCCCAGAUCUCAACUGACCUGUGAGGGAAGAGGCAAUCCAGCAUUGUAUUGUGAAAUGGCUACUCAAGGGAGUACAAAAGCCAGGCCUGAAUGCUGAAUGCUAUAUCCAAAUGCUAAAAUGUGACUCACUACCAGAUAAUGUCUGUGAAAGAGGCCAGAGGCUGGCCUCCCCUCUCCUGUUGCAAGAAGCCAGCGUUAAUCCUUGUCAAUGAUUAACUCAAUUGCUCUCUAUAGAGAUUCAACAUAGGUAAAUGCAUACAAAGCAAACACCUGUAGACUUUACAGGAUGCUUCUGCCUUAGUCAAAUGUAUUGAUUAAUUCGUCUCACACAUGUACCCCUUUUUUAUGUUACUUUAAAUAUUCUCUUGUUAUAAUUAAACACUAGAUAAAGGUACACAAGAAAUAAUGUAAUUGCUGUCUCACACAAAUAGAACUAAAUGCUCUCACUAACUCUUGGCUUUUAACACCUUUUGGGGUCAGACUGGCAAUUGGGGGAAGAUGCAAUUUGUAGCUCUGAGAUGCAGAUUUGCUUUGGGCAAUGUUAACCCCCCCCUUCCUAAGCGCACAGUUUACAGAAUAUGAGUUUGAGAUCUCUCUGGAUUGGCCAAUAUCCUGAAUAAUUAAAAGACAUUGUCCAGAAGGUAGCAGCAAGUUGUCACCUUUUGGGACCCAGGAAAAGAUGAGAUUUGAAUAGACUCUAUGAGAGAGAGCUCAAAGGAAAAUACAACUAUAAAGAAUGAGGCUACUGGACAGAGAGUUGGCAGUCUUUUGCCUACAAGCAGUCUUGUGCCUACAGCAAGAUCCGCUCACAAACAAUGCCAGAGUUUGCUGCUAAGCCGUGGGGUUAGAAGCAGGAACUCUGUCCAUGGACAGGAGCUGUCUGUGACUUCUACUGCACAGUGAGAAGUCAAGACUUCCCCAGCCAUGGCACUCUGACUCUCAGCCGUGAUCUGAGCAACUGCAAUAGCUCCUGUCUCCAGCCAAAGAGCCUCGCUCCUUCAGCUGAAGAGAUCCCCGCUCUCAAGUCUCUCUGAUCCUGGUAAUAUGCUGCUCCUACAAGAAUUGGAUCCCUCCAUCUUUUCCCCUCCUUCUCCUCCCCCCCUUUUUCCUCUACUAAUUCCUGAACCAUGCCAGCCCUCAGCUUUCCUCCCCCCACCCCGCUUUUCCAUCUAUAUCUGAAUUGUAUUAGGCUCUAGGAAGAUUUAAGGCACACACAUAUGUUAGUUAGGAACACGUUGAAUAUUGGUGCUGGCUAGGAUGUUCUGUUUAAAUGCUGUUAGUAAUAUAUUGAUAGAGUGUUCUGCUUUCUGCUAGAUCAUGUUGUUACUCUUUUAUACUCAAUAAAGCCCAUUGAAUCUUU